rnacentral:lncRNA from 1 species
CACAGUUUCUUGUAGCGGGAAGUGCGUCUACAAAGAGCCAAAGCUGCUCUUUUUUCACUUUUUCCCCCCAACAAAAAUCUGCUGACCCAAAGUCUGGCUUUCUGGUCGCUCCCAUUUAGCAUAAUGGAUUGGAGAUAGAGCUCCAGGAGCGCGGUCUGGGGUGGGAGGAAACCACAGGGCGGCUCUGGGGCGGCGCAGGGCCCUCGUGGCUGGGCUGACAUGAGCACAGGUGGCCCGAGAGCGGGCUGGAGGUGAGGCUUGGGUUUCCCAGCGUUUGGCUCCUCUCCAGUACAAACGCUCGAGCUCCGUGGCAGAAGAUGAACGGGGUUAUCUGGAUUUAGCAGGAGGCGUUGCCUUCCUUUUCGCCUCCAACGGAGGAGUGGGAACGGCUCCCUGCGGUCAGGAGGAAAACUUGGAGCUUUAAAGCCCAUCAGGUUUCUGGGCUCACAACGAGCUCUUCUGAUCAUAUCUUUUUUUUUUUUGAUUAGGUGUCCUCAACAUGUGAUUUUGGAGAAGAAAAGCACCCACAGCUAUCACCCAGGGACCAGCUGCCCAUCACCACAGCACUGGCAAACAUCCACUUUGGGAGGACAACGAGUAUUUUUGGCUGCAGCAGCAACAACGCCAUAAAACACCAGGAACUGCUGCUUGCAGGCUUCUCCCAUCGCUGCUCGGAGCAUCUGUGGAAGGGAAAACUUCCCAGCGUAACAUCCACAACCUCUUAAGUAAAUAGUCUUUAAUGUUGCACUAAGGGCUUGUAGCCUUAAUAUGUAAAAUCUGUUUAGCUUUUUUUAAUUCUUGGAUCGCGCUGUGGAAAGCGCUCCAGAAGUUGCCU